AGAUUUCCUACCCCUUCAAAGCCUUGAAAAGUUCAGUCUACGUCAAGCUUGGAAGAGCUUGUAUCAUGUGCUAACUGACCACCGACCUUUUGUCGUUUAUGAAAAAGUACGAUACUAUAGUGAGACAAAUGUUAUAUGACGUGUAAGUGUAAGUGAACGUAUGUUCAGAGGAACUGAACUCGCGUGAUCUUAGCUGUAAAAUACUCAACCUACAAUUUAUUUACCCAAAAAAAAAAAUCUAGUAUGAUUAGAGGAGUUCGGUGAAUCUUCAUGUACAUUCACGUAAGUGAAGAUUCACCGAACUCUGAUUAGAGUUUUUUUUUUUUGUCGGGUUUCACUGGAUGCAUGUGCUCUUCACAUGAAGAUUGCAAUGCCACAACCUAAAGUAGGAAAACUGUGGGGAUAUUUAUAUCUGGUAGGAAAUAUCGGGUUUGAGUGUUCCUAAAUCUGAUACCUAACUGAUAUUGUAUUGGUUGAAUGGUACAGAUCAAUAGUAAAAUGUUAAAAACCUGUUUUAAGGAAAAUCAAAGGUGUUUCUAUUUGGUCGAUGAUCUGAUACCAACUUGUUUCAGUACCAUAUCGAUUUUUGGGAUGGAUGAUACCUGAUCAGAUACUUUGGGCACUAAAACCAUGAGUGGCGUGCAGAAAUGAUAAAAGGAAAGGCAAGGACUCCGUGGAUAGUCAAGCUUCAACCCUAAAAAAUUUCCUUUAUUACUGAAUCACGAUUCACGACCACCUCACACUCAACCUUCUCAUCCCUAUCCUCUCUCUCAACCCUACUACUUAAACUCUCUGCCAUGAAGAAGAAGAAAUUGCACAACGAUAGAAAGUCUCAAACCUUUCUAUUGCUCCCUGCUUAGGUGUUUACUGCCGAAUAUUUUACAUACGCAGACAAUCCCACAAGCAGAGAAAGCCAGAAGGAAGUGGUCGGAGGUAGAAGGGGGAGAAAUUGAGAAAGAAAAGGUCAUCUACCAUGAUAAUUAGGCCAAAGCAUUCUAUUAAUUGGUCCUCAUUGCCAAUGUUGAGUUUCUCAUACAAAGAACACCUCUCUUAUUUUAUAAUUUCAAGAGACGAAGAGAGAGGAGGAAAAAGAGAGAAGAAGAAAGAAGAUCACUGCGUUGAAUGGAGACGAAGGGAGAGAAGGAAGAAAGAAGAGGGAGAAGGGAGAAGAGAGAGGAGACCUUUUGAGACUUAAAAGCGAUGUUCAUCCUGAACCAUUGGAUCGAUGGGCGCCACAUGUUAGGAUAAUGACACGUGCCUUGGACAUGUGGAUGGUCAUAUCGCGGGCUUACCACAAAACCCUAGGUAUCUUCUUCUUCUCCCUCCUGACUAUGCCGUGUCCUUCUCAUUGGCAUUAUCAGUCUCCAUAUGCAUAUGGCGAUUUGUACUAUUGUUGGCCACUAACUCAGUUGCUGAUACUUCAGAUUAUGAAUCUGAAAAGCCAGAUUGAUCCACUUCCAUAGCAUCACCAUGGGUUCAUGUCGGCAGACGCCACUUCCAGAACCAGUAACCUUCUCAAAACACCUGUUUCUCAUUUUCACUACCACCUCGUUCUUUUCAGAUGAGCCUGUAAGAACAGAACAGAAGAAACAUAUGAGAAUUCAAUUGGUAACUGAAUCAAUCAUAAGAACUUUUAUUUUGAAUAAUGAAAAUGGGAUUAAAAAAUAGGAAGGGAAAAUAACAUACCCAUUAGGAGCUGAAGGGGCUGGUGAAGAGCAGAGAUCAAACACCACAGCCAGUAUACAACAAACACAACCAGAUCUAUUUCCAUUCAGACAAGAAUCUUGAUGGAUUCAAACAAAGAGUUCAAACUGAAGAGAGGAAGGAGGGAGAAGAAGAACAUAGCUAGGGUUUUGUUCGAAAUUCAAAACCGAUUUGCUAAGCCCGUGUAGCGCACGGUCCUCGUGAUCUGACCGUCCACGUGUUCAAAAACAGGUGUCGUCAUCUAACACGUCUCUGCCAGUGUCCGCCAACGUCCCUCCCUGCAGACAAUUUCUAUCCAUCAACCAUGGAUUGAUGAAGACUGGAGCAACUGAAGCAAGUGCUUUUCAACCUUGGGUUACCUCUUUGACCAUGUCGCCCUCACCAAGAACAAUAACAACAUUAUUAGGUUCAUGGAUUUCUUAGGUGCAAAACCAGUAAUGCAUCUUUUCGCCCUCGUCGUCCUAUCAUCCCCAUACUUAGAGGUAAGUAUGACGAACAGGAUUCGAGUUUGGCACCACCCAACCUAUUGAUGACAAGGUGUUCCCUAUAGGUAACAACAACCCAUUUUAAAGAGCUGAGGUGGCUGCCCUGAAUCCCCUUGAUGGCUCCAAAAAUGGAUACAAGGCAUGUACAAUCUGUAAGAGGAACAGUACAUCAGCAUAUCAGUCUAGCCCAUUGGCCUCGAGGCCCCAAGGUGUGGUUCUUGUGACUGUAUGAAGCUCUAUUAACUUUUGUUCACAUCUAUCCUGCUUUUGGUAUGGCUUAUUGGAAUAUUUUCUGGUUUUAAAGCA